rnacentral:rRNA from 1 species
CCUACGGGAGGCAGCAGUGAGGAAUAUUGGUCAAUGGCCGGAAGGCUGAACCAGCCAUGCCGCGUGAAGGUCAGUGCCCUAUGGGCGUUAAACUUCUUUUGUGCGGGAGCAAUAAUGGUCACGUGUGGCCAGACGAGAGUACCGUACGAAUAAGCAUCGGCUAACUCCGUGCCAGCAACCGCGGUGAUACGGGGGAUGCAAGCGUUAGCCGGAUUUAUUGGGUUUAAAGGGUGCGUAGGCUGGGAGGUAAGUCAGCGGUGAAAUGCCCCCGCUCAACGGGGUGAAGUGCCAUUGAUACUGGCGUGCUGGAGUGCGGAUGCCGUAGGAGGAAUGUGUGGUGUAGCGGUGAAAUGCAUAGAUAUCACACAGAACACCGAUUGCGAAGGCAUCUCACGAGUCCGCGAUUGACGCUGAUGCACGAAAGCGUGGGUAUCAAACAGGAUUAGAUACCCUUGUAGUC